rnacentral:rRNA from 1 species
GCGCUGCAUUAGCUAGUUGGUAAGGUAACGGCUUACCAAGGCAACGAUGCAUAGCCGACCUGAGAGGGUGAUCGGCCACACUGGAACUGAGACACGGUCCAGACUCCUACGGGAGGCAGCAGUAGGGAAUCUUCCGCAAUGGGCGAAAGCCUGACGGAGCAACGCCGCGUGAGUGAUGAAGGUCUUCGGAUCGUAAAACUCUGUUAUUAGGGAAGAACAUAUGUGUAAGUAACUGUGCACAUCUUGACGGUACCUAAUCAGAAAGCCACGGCUAACUACGUGCCAGCAGCCGCGGUAAUACGUAGGUGGCAAGCGUUAUCCGGAAUUAUUGGGCGUAAAGCGCGCGUAGGCGGUUUUUUAAGUCUGAUGUGAAAGCCCACGGCUCAACCGUGGAGGGUCAUUGGAAACUGGAAAACUUGAGUGCAGAAGAGGAAAGUGGAAUUCCAUGUGUAGCGGUGAAAUGCGCAGAGAUAUGGAGGAACACCAGUGGCGAAGGCGACUUUCUGGUCUGUAACUGACGCUGAUGUGCGAAAGCGUGGGGAUCAAACAGGAUUAGAUACCCUGGUAGUCCACGCCGUAAACGAUGAGUGCUAAGUGUUAGGGGGUUUCCGCCCCUUAGUGCUGCAGCUAACGCAUUAAGCACUCCGCCUGGGGAGUACGACCGCAAGGUUGAAACUCAAAGGAAUUGACGGGGACCCGCACAAGCGGUGGAGCAUGUGGUUUAAUUCGAAGCAACGCGAAGAACCUUACCAAAUCUUGACAUCCUUUGACAACUCUAGAGAUAGAGCUUUCCCCUUCGGGGGACAAAGUGACAGGUGGUGCAUGGUUGUCGUCAGCUCGUGUCGUGAGAUGUUGGGUUAAGUCCCGCAACGAGCGCAACCCUUAAGCUUAGUUGCCAUCAUUAAGUUGGGUACUCUAAGUUGACUGCCGGUGACAAACCGGAGGAAGGUGGGGAUGACGUCAAAUCAUCAUGCCCCUUAUGAUUUGGGCUACACACGUGCUACAAUGGACAAUACAAAGGGCAGCGAAACCGCGAGGUCAAGCAAAUCCCAUAAAGUUGUUCUCAGUUCGGAUUGUAGUCUGCAACUCGACUACAUGAAGCUGGAAUCGCUAGUAAUCGUAGAUCAGCAUGCUACGGUGAAUACGUUCCCGGGUCUUGUACACACCGCCCGUCACACCACGAGAGUUUGUAACACCCGAAGCCGGUGGAGUAACCUUUUAGGAGCUAGCCGUCGAAGGUGGGACAAAUGAUUGGGGUGAAGUCGUAACAAGGUAGCCGUAUCGGAAGGUGCGGCUGGAUCACCUCCUUU